rnacentral:misc_RNA from 1 species
UCUCCGUUGGUGAACCAGCGGAGGGAUCAUUACCGAGUUCCAGCAACUGCCAAGACUCGCGAACCGUACCCCAGUCUGUUCUCGUUGCUUCCGACAGGCGGGGGGGGCCCCCUGGCCCCUCCCCCUGCCGCGGGCGGCGGGCCCUCAAAACAUUUAUAUCUCAUCCACUGACACCCGGCGUCGAAAAACAAUAAAUAAUCAAAACUUUCAACAACGGAUCUCUUGGCUCUG